rnacentral:misc_RNA from 1 species
AACACUGUUAACCUGCGGUACCUGCGGAAGGAUCAUUACCGAGUGCGGGUCCUUUGGGCCCAACCUCCCAUCCGUGUCUAUUGUACCCUGUUGCUUCGUCGGGCCCGCCGCUUGUCGGCCGCCGGGGGGGCGCCUCUGCCCCCCGGGCCCGUGCCCGCCGGAGACCCCAACACGAACACUGUCUGAAAGCGUGCAGUCUGAGUUGAUUGAAUGCAAUCAGUUAAAACUUUCAACAAUGGA